rnacentral:rRNA from 1 species
UACGUAGGUGGCAAGCGUUGUCCGGAUUUACUGGGCGUAAAGAGCGCGCAGGCGGUCGUCCAAGUCGCGUGUGAAAGCCCCCGGCUCAACUGGGGAGGGUCACGCGAUACUGGUCGACUCGAAGGCAGGAGAGGGUAGUGGAAUUCCCGGUGUAGUGGUGAAAUGCGUAGAUAUCGAGAGGAACACCAGUGGCGAAGGCGACUACCUGGCCUGUUCUUGACGCUGAGGCGCGAAAGCUAGGGGAGCAAACGGG